UUUCUUCAUUCGUGUUCUUUCUUUAAAUUUAAAAAAGAUUCAAUUUUUCGUUCUUAUAAUUUCGUUGGACCAUGCUGGAACAUUCUUGAAAUUAAAAAAGAACUUUUAUUACAUUUUUUGCGUUAAUUUGGCUGAUUGUUUCCUUUACUUUUGAAGUUCCAUUGAAUGGGUUUGCUAAAUUUCAAUUCUAUCAAAACUAAAAAACUAAACAUAGCCGAGGAUUCACAGAAAUUUCAAUUGAUUAGUUAAGUGGCAUUUUUACGAACAAGUGAGCCGCAUAAAGAAACUUACCUGACAUGUUAUUUGAAUUUUUUUUUGUAGUGAAACAUUUGAAAUAAAUAGUACUUGAUAUAAGUUUGAGGCUAAUGAAUUUUUCACUUUAGUGGUGUGAGUUUUGCUAGAAAUUAGUAUAGAUAGAGGAAAAUACAAGUAAAUCUUUUUAGGUGAUGUUCCGGCAAACUAAGUGAAGGAGAAUGAGCUGUAUUUGUAGUCUGUUAUACUAAGAAUUAGUUGGAAAUAACUAUCCCUGCCAUUACUCUUUAUGAGCGAGACACAAUUUCGAUUUGCUGCCCAUUCCUGAAUCAGAAUUUGAUUCUUAUAUUGAAUUCCACUUGCUUCCAGUAAACCUUCUUCAUAUUUAAAACUACACGCAAACUUUAAGGCGGCCAGCUGUGUAUAUAAUGAUCUCAUGUAACUGAUUCCGUUUGGGCUACAGUGGUGAUAACUUUAGUCUAAUACUAUCCAGAUAUUAGAUUUUUCUUCGGGCAUAAUCAACUGUAUUUUUCAUAGCUAUUAGUAGAUGUAAUUGAUGCGGCAAUUUACGUUCCCUUUGCAUUGCUGUAUCAGUUGCUACUCUCUGGAUAAAUACAUAAUCUUAUUUGUUUUCUCUUAUAUUGUGAAAGGAGUUGUGACUAGCAUUCAUUUAGUCUGGUUGCUGAUUUUGACAUCAGCUUCUUUGUAUGAAUCUGAUAUUAAAUUCUUUAUUAUGAAUUACAUUUUACCUUUAAAACAUAACUCCGACCAACGAUGCUAUCAGAUCAACUGAAAACUCUGUUACAUAAGAAUUUUUGAACGAAAUUAUCGCUUUUUAAGGUUAAUGUAAAGAUGGUGCUUAAAACAGUGGAGGUACAACUGUAGUGAAAACUUAAUGCAUAAGUCACCUGUGUGCAUUUCUGUAUAGGAUACAUUAAAAAUGUUGCAUUGUUGAUCUGUUCUAUCUAUUAUAUCAAAUGCCCUUUUGAACUUGAGAAGUUUUUGAUGAAUUUACAUGGAAAGGCAUAACAAAUUUGACGAAUACUUACUGCAGCUGUGAUUGCUUUUUUUUUUAAUCAUAUACUGGAAGAUUAUACGGUUUUAAGAAUGCUCUAAUUCUUGUACCUUCUAAUUUGCUUCAUUCUUCUGUAAUGUUUUCUGGGAAUGGUUAAUGUGCCCAUAAGAUGCAUUUCCUUGUUGCACAGUCAGUUCUGUUUACACUGUUGACAACACAGAUGACUGUAAAUAAAGAGUCUUUGGUGCAAACUUGUUCCUCCCAAAAAAGAAACACAACUGCUCUACGGAGAGAGCUUCUAAAAUCAACUCGAGACGACGUGAACGAUAUACGCAGUUGUCGCCCAACAAAAAAGAGCAGCUUUUAUACAGCGACGCACACAAAAACUUGAAUCAAUAAAUACAUCUCUGCCAGCUACACUCGCCGAUGAAGCAUUACGCCCUCAGAUAAAUGUUAGAUCACGUAGACACGAAAUUCUAACAAUACGAGAGCCAUCUUUAGUUACCCAAAAAGAUACAUCUGACACUAACAAGGCAACAACAGGCUUUAACAAAGGAAAAAAUAUAAUUGAAUACUUCUCUGUCUUUCUGACACUAACAAUGCAACAACAGGCUUUAACAAAGGAAAAAAUAUAAUUGAAUACUUCUCUGUCUUUGAAACUGGUUCAACAUCAAAUUCUCCCGCUAAACGACAUACUGUGGCAUUACCUAAAGAAACAGUUUUGACAGUACGAGAGUCAUCUUCUGUUGCCAAAAAAGCUCAUGCAUCUCGCGCAAAAAGUUCAACAGCAAUGAAAGGCUUCACCAAAGCAAAAAUUACAAGUGGUCACUUCUCUGUAUUUGAAAUUGGUUCAACAUGAAAUGCUUUCACUGAACGGAAUGAUCCGAUAACAUCAAUUAUCGCCAAAAAGGUGUUUCUGUUGUGUGUGUUGGUUGGCUGCAGUAUCUGCUGGUUUAACACAGUAUGCUAUGUGUUGUACAUCAAACAUUUCCCGCUAUUUGCAUUGUCCCUCAGCAUAAGUUUCAACGGUGCAGGUGCAAGCGCAGCCCUGUACAACCUAAUUGGAUAAAGAAGACUCUUUAGAUUUAACAACAAUUUACAGUUAAGGUUAAUUGAUCAAGUGUUAACAAAAUGUUGAAGAGCUCUUCAUGGAAUGUCCUGAAUGUUGAUCCAUUUGCUACUCCAGCAUCACCAAUUCAUUAGCAUCAUGGUGUUUUUUUCCACAUUUUUUGUACGCAUUGUCAUGAAUAUGCUGUGAUUGGUGAUCCAGUAAAGACAAGUAAAAACGAACACGAGAGUAGUAUCAAUUUUAGUUUAUUUUUUUCCUUUGAUGUGUUAUGUAAUUUAGAUGAAGUUAAAGGCAGAAGUGAUAAUUUGCAGUUGCGAGAUUGGCUGGAGUUAUCGCUCAACCAUUCAGUGCCAUCUUCUUUGUUAAUCCUUUCUAGAGCCUUCACAGUAUCAGGCAAAGUAAAACCAGAGGAAGAUAUUCAAGCUACAUUUUCAUCAUUGCCAGAUGAGGUGGUGGACGCUGUUCAGGUUACAUCUAUGCCAUCUGAAGAUUCUCUUGCUGAAAAGAAGAGAAAGCUAGAAUUCUUAGAAAUGGACGAAGAGCUCAUCAAGGAGGAGGAUGAUAUCCAAAGCAUUGUUCCCGGUGUAACCUGGUAGACAAAAGCAUCCCACACCACUUUUUCCAAUACCAGACUGCUUCAUUGAUUUGGAGAAGAAUGUCGAACUGGUAAAGAAUCAAUUGGGAUACAAUGUGUUGGCCUGAUGAAAGGAGAUGGGCGGAUACCAUUUGUAGGGGGUGCGCGGAUUAGGUAGAUUAAAUAGAUUUAGUAGGUUUCUAGUGAAUCUAUUUUUAUUAGUGCGUGGAUAUUUUGUUUUAAUAUCUUUUAAUAAUUUACUUUUUUC